rnacentral:rRNA from 1 species
UACGGGGGGGGGCAAGCGUUGUUCGGAAUUACUGGGCGUAAAGGGCUCGUAGGCGGCCAACUAAGUCGGACGUGAAAUCCCUCGGCUUAACCGGGGAACUGCGUCCGAUACUGGAUGGCUUGAGUUUGGGAGAGGGAUGCGGAAUUCCAGGUGUAGCGGUGAAAUGCGUAGAUAUCUGGAGGAACACCGGUGGCGAAGGCGGCUCUCUGGGACGGUACUGGACGGCUGAGACGCGAAAGCGUGGGGAGCGAACGAG